UUCCUCUCAGGAUGGCACCUGGAGAGUUUCCAGGACUCUACCAGUCUUGGUAGUGGGAGGGAGAGUCAAGCAGAGGCCUACCCAUUCCAUUCCUAGAUUGGCCAGUGGCUAGCGAGUGGAAGACAAUUUGCUAUAAAU